rnacentral:rRNA from 1 species
GGGUCCGUAGGUUGGUCGUGCCACCGGUACGUACUGGUCUCACUGAUUCCUCCUUCCUGAAGAACCGUAAUGCCAUUAAUUUGGUGUUGCGGGGAAACAGGUCUGUUACUUUGAAAAAAUUAGAGUGUUUAAAGCAAGCUAACGCUUGAAUACAUUAGCAUGGAAUAAUGAAAUAGGACGAUCGAUCCUAUUUUGUUGGUUUCUAGGAUUGACGUA